AUUGAACGCUGGCGGCAGGCCUAACACAUGCAAGUCGAACGAGUGGCGGACGGGUGAGUAAUGUCUGGGAAACUGCCUGAUGGAGGGGGAUAACCAAUCGAAAGAUUGGCUAAUACCGCAUAUUAUUCGAGCGGCCGAUAACUGAUUAGCUAGUUGGUGGGGUAAAGGCCUACCAAGGCGACGAUCAGUAGCGGGUCUGAGAGGACGAUCCGCCACACUGGGACUGAGACACGGCCCAGACUCCUACGGGAGGCAGCAGUGGGGAAUUUUGGACAAUGGGGGCAACCCUGAUCCAGCCAUGCCGCGUGUAUGAAGAAGGCCUUCGGGUUGUAAAGUACUUUCAGCGGGGAGGCGUUACCCGCAGAAGAAGCACCGGCUAACUCCGUGCCAGCAGCCGCGGUAAUAC
rnacentral:rRNA from 1 species